rnacentral:ncRNA from 1 species
UUUAUCAAGAGCGACGGAGGGAACAGGCCCGAUGAUGUCCGGCAACCUGCUGCGGUGCAGACGCGCGCCCCGGCAAGGUGCCAAAUCCUGCGGUUUAACCGGAAGAUGAGG